AACCCUACUCAACUCUAAACUGCCAACUUUCAAUACCUUUUUGUAUCAAAACCUAGAUACCUCUCAACUGGAAUAUUAGAUUAUCACAAAUUUUUAUAUACACUUAGUUCAUCUAAUUAAUCAAGUAUAAUCAAAUUUAGAAUUAUGGAUGUAAUACCAAUUUUACAAACUAGCCGAGAGUGCUAGCCCUAAUUAUAUUAUAUAAAUUCCAAGUUGCCAAUACAA
rnacentral:lncRNA from 1 species